rnacentral:lncRNA from 1 species
AACAAAUAUUACUUUGUAUUUGCGGUUUUUAUAAUCAAUUUCUUUGAUAAUCUAAGUUCCAAAACAUCCCUUACUCACUUUCACAAUUUCAUCAUGGCACGGUCAAGAAAACAGUCGGCAGCCAGGUGAGAUUCUUUCAUAAUAUCCGUAAUGAAAGAUAGAAAUACUGUUUCAAGCGAAAGUUUAGUUUAUAAACUUGUAUCUCUGUGGCUAUAUUUAUUUCUCACUUGC